rnacentral:rRNA from 1 species
UGGGGAAUUUUGGACAAUGGGCGCAAGCCUGAUCCAGCCAUGCCGCGUGCAGGAUGAAGGCCUUCGGGUUGUAAACUGCUUUUGUACGGAACGAAACGGCCUUUUCUAAUAAAGAGGGCUAAUACGGUACCGUAAGAAUAAGCACCGGCUAACUACGUGCCAGCAGCCGCGGUAAUACGUAGGGUGCAAGCGUUAAUCGGAAUUACUGGGCGUAAAGCGUGCGCAGGCGGUAAUGUAAGACAGUUGUGAAAAUCCCCGGGCUCAACCUGGGGACUGCAUCUGUGACUGCAUUGCUGGAGUACGGCAGAGGGGGAUGGAAUUCCGCGUGUAGCAGUGAAAUGCGUAGAUAUGCGGAGGAACACCGAUGGCGAAGGCAAAUCCCCCUGGGCCUGUACUGACGCUCAUGCACGAAAAGCGUGGGGAGCAAAACAGGAUUAGAUACCCUGGUAGUCCACGCCCUAAAACGAUGUCAACUGGGUUGUUGGGGAAUUCACUUUCUCAGUAACGAAGCUAACGCGUGAAGUUGACCGCCU